UACGUAGGGGGCAAGCGUUAUCCGGAUUUACUGGGUGUAAAGGGAGUGUAGACGGCAAGGCAAGUCUGAUGUGAAAACCCAGGGCUUAACCCUGGGACUGCAUUGGAAACUGUCUGGCUCGAGUGCCGGAGAGGUAAGCGGAAUUCCUAGUGUAGCGGUGAAAUGCGUAGAUAUUAGGAAGAACACCAGUGGCGAAGGCGGCUUACUGGACGGUAACUGACGUUGAGGCUCGAAAGCGUGGGGAGCAAACAGG
rnacentral:rRNA from 1 species